AGUGUCCAAACCUUUGAUGCCGCAAGGCGUUGAGCAC
rfam:Hapalosiphon sp. MRB220 contig_138, whole genome shotgun sequence.